rnacentral:rRNA from 1 species
UACAGAGGUCCCAAGCGUUGUUCGGAUUCACUGGGCGUAAAGGGUGCGUAGGCGGUCGGGUAAGUCUGACGUGAAAUCUCCGGGCCUAACCCGGAAACUGCGUUGGAAACUGCCUGGCUAGAGGAAUGGAGGGGAGACUGGAAUACUUGGUGUAGCAGUGAAAUGCGUAGAUAUCGUGAGGAACACCAGAGGCGAAGGCGGUUACCUGGACAGUUACUGACGCUCAGGCACGAAAGCGUGGGGAGCAAAAGGG